UACGAAGGGGGCUAGCGUUGCUCGGAUUUACUGGGCGUAAAGGGCGCGUAGGCGGAUCGUUAAGUUGGGGGUGAAAGCCCGGGGCUCAACCUCGGAAUUGCCUUCAAUACUGGCUAUCUUGAGUGUGAGAGAGGUGUGUGGAACUCCGAGUGUAGAGGUGAAAUUCGUAGAUAUUCGGAAGAACACCAGUGGCGAAGGCGACACACUGGCUCACUACUGACGCUGAGGCGCGAAAGCGUGGGGAGCAAACAGG
rnacentral:rRNA from 1 species